rnacentral:rRNA from 1 species
UACGGGGGGGGUAAGCGUUGUUCGGAAUUACUGGGCGUAAAGGGCUCGUAGGCGGCCAACUAAGUCAGACGUGAAAUCCCUCAGCUUAACUGGGGAACUGCGUCUGAUACUGGAUGGCUUGGAUUCGGGAGAGGAAUGCGGAAUUCCAGGUGUAGCGGCGAAAUGCGUAGAUAUCUGGAGGAACACCGGUGGCGAAGGCGGCAUUCUGGACCGACAUUGACGCUGAGGAGCGAAAGCCAGGGGAGCAAAGCGGG